rnacentral:rRNA from 1 species
UACGUAGGUGGCAAGCGUUGUCCGGAUUUACUGGGCGUAAAGAGCGCGCAGGCGGCUGGUCAAGUCCGAUGUGAAAGCUCCCGGCUUAACUGGGAAACGGCAUCGGAAACUGAUCGGCUUGAAGGUGGGAGAGGGUAGUGGAAUUCCCGGUGUAGUGGUGAAAUGCGUAGAUAUCGGGAGGGACACCAGUGGCGAAGGCGGCUACCUGGCCCACUCUUGACGCUGAGGCGCGAAAGCUAGGGGAGCAAACGGG